UACGUAGGGUGCGAGCGUUGUCCGGAAUUAUUGGGCGUAAAGAGCUUGUAGGCGGUUUGUCGCGUCUGCUGUGAAAAUCCGGGGCUCAACCCCGGACUUGCAGUGGGUACGGGCAGACUGGAGUGUUGCAGGGGAGACUGGAAUUCCCGGUGUAGUGGUGAUAUGCGUAGAUAUCGGGAGGAACACCUGUGGCGAAGGCGGCUUUCUGGGCCUUACCUGACGCUGAGACGCGAAAGCGUGGGGAGCGAACCGG
rnacentral:rRNA from 1 species